CCGGAGUUUAGCAUAAAGUACUUUGGGUGCUCAACUAUAUAGAAAGGCAAUAUAUAAAUGAUCAGGUUAUUGGUUAAAUUGUAUUUAGGGUAUGGAUUGUAUAGGAAGAUUAAGGUUGUAAAGAGGUGUGGCCUAACAAUCCGAAGUUCCUAAAGGUAUGUGCCAAAGUAUCCUUCAGUAAGAUACUGAACCCCUCGUUUCCCCAAUCCAUCCUCUGGUGAGUGAGAAAGUACUUAGACAUCAAUAGAAAUGCCGUAUUAUUGUGUGUGAUUAGGUGAAUGAGACUUGCAGUAGUACCAGUCCACUUACCCUUUACACAAUGAAAACGUAGAGCUUGCUCAUGCAUGUACAAAAUUGGAGGAUUUUCCCAGGAGAUGGUCGUGAAUUAUGGGAGUGUUGUCAGCCAUGGCUGCAGUGUUAUUUCUGCUUCUCAUCUUCCAAUUUUUUAUGAACUCUGCUCUCACACCGUUUCCUGCUCAACAAACUUUUCAGAUAAUUAGCAAUCUACCUACACAGGAUCGUCACCUUCAUGCUACACUAUGUGCUUCUGGGUUUUUUUCUUUUUUUUUAGCGCUGGUUGCAUACCCAAAAUUCUUCACUGUGUUUGCCACAGAUCAAGGUAAACGGACUCAAAUGUGUCACGGUGAAUACCGCUUGAGUAUAUGUGUUUACAGAUGUCUGGGUCUGCGUGUUCUUAUUUUUGCACAAUGCACUUGUACUGGAAGCACAACCUUGUGAUUUUGAUUGGAUUGGUACCCAACUGUUUCAAGCAAACAAACAAAAAAAAGAAGAAGUAACGUUCUGUGUUGCUGCAUUUGAAAAGAAUUCCUCCAAUGCUAAAUGUUAUGUUUAAUACAAACACAUUCUUAAAAGAGAUAUACGUCUCAUGCUAUACUACGACUCACUUAUUAUAGUGGCCUCGUUAGAUAUUGCCACACACAUAGUCUGGAACGACAAUAAAUUAGAAAUACGAACCUUCAGGUUGCUUCUUUAUUUGUAUAGAAAA
ensembl:lncRNA